rnacentral:rRNA from 1 species
AGAGUUUGUUCCUGGCUCAGAAUCAACGCUGCCGGCGUCCUUCACACAUGCAAGUCGAACGCCAAAGCCCCGCAAGGGGUAAGUAGAGUGGCAAACGGGUGAGUAACACGUGGGUGACCUGCCUUCGAGUGGGGGAGAACGUCCCGAAAGGGACGCUAAUACCGCAUGACAUCCUGCCUUUGAACAGGUGGAGAUCAAAGCUGGGGAUCGCAAGACCUAGCGCUCAAAGAGGGGCCCGCGCCUGAUUAGCUAGUUGGUGGGGUAACGGCUCACCAAGGCGACGAUCAGUAUCCGGCGUGAGAGGGGGGGCGGACACACUGGGACUGAGACACGGCCCAGACUCCUACGGGAGGCAGCAGUGGGGAAUUGUUCGCAAUGGGCGCAAGCCUGACGACGCAACGCCGCGUGGAGGAUGAAGUUCUUCGGGUCCAAACUCCUUUCGAUCGAGACGUAUGGUCUCCGGUUGGGCUAGCAGGAGGAAUGUCGUACCGAGGAGAAGUUCGUA